rnacentral:rRNA from 1 species
AGUCUAGUACAUGCCGAAAUAAGGCGAAACCGCGAAUGGCUCAUUAAAUCAGUUAUGGUUCCUUAGAUCGUUUCUUCCUACUUGGAUAACUGUGGCAAUUCUAGAGCUAAUACAUGCAGUGAGCCUGGAACCCUUUGGGUUUACGGGUGCUUUUAUUAGACCAAGAUCGAUCGGGUUUCGGCCCGUAUUGUGUGGUGACUCUGGAUAACUUUGUGCUGAUCGCAUGGCCAUGAGCCGGCGACGUUUCUUUCAAGUGUCUGCCUUAUCAACUUUCGAUGGUAGGUUACUUGCUUACCAUGGUUGUUACGGGUAACGGAAAAUCAGGGUUCGAUUCCGGAGAGGGAGCCUGAGAAACGGCUACCACAUCCAAGGAAGGCAGCAGGCGCGCAAAUUACCCACUCCCGGCACGGGGAGGUAGUGACGAAAGAUAACAAUACGGGACUCUUUUGAGGCCCCGUAAUUGAAAUGAGUACACUCUAAAUCCUUUAACGAGGAUCAAUUGGAGGGCAAGUCUGGUGCCAAGCAACCA